rnacentral:rRNA from 1 species
AGUGAACGCUGGCGGUAGGCCUAACACAUGCAAGUCGAACGGCAGCACAGUAAGAGCUUGCUCUUACGGGUGGCGAGUGGCGGACGGGUGAGGAAUACAUCGGAAUCUACUUUUUCGUGGGGGAUAACGUAGGGAAACUUACGCUAAUACCGCAUACGACCUACGGGUGAAAGCAGGGGAUCUUCGGACCUUGCGCGAUUGAAUGAGCCGAUGUCGGAUUAGCUAGUUGGCGGGGUAAAGGCCCACCAAGGCGACGAUCCGUAGCUGGUCUGAGAGGAUGGACCGACACACUGAAACUGUGAAACGGUCCAAACUACUACGAGAGGCGGAAGUGCGGAAUAUUCGACAAUGGGCGCGAGCCUGAUCCUACCAUACCGCGUGGGUGAAGAAGGCCUUCGGGUUGUAAAGCCCUUUUGUUGGGAAAGAAAAGCAGCAGGUUAAUACCCAGCUGUUCUGACGGUACCCAAAGAAUAAGCACCGGCUAACUUCGUG